rnacentral:rRNA from 1 species
CCCUGAGAUCAGCGGCGGACGGGUGAGUAACACGUGGGUAACCUGCCUGUAAGACUGGGAUAACUCCGGGAAACCGGGGCUAAUACCGGAUAACACCUACCCCCGCAUGGGGGAAGGUUGAAAGGUGGCUUCGGCUAUCACUUACAGAUGGACCCGCGGCGCAUUAGCUAGUUGGUGAGGUAAUGGCUCACCAAGGCGACGAUGCGUAGCCGACCUGAGAGGGUGAUCGGCCACACUGGGACUGAGACACGGCCCAGACUCCUACGGGAGGCAGCAGUAGGGAAUCUUCCGCAAUGGACGAAAGUCUGACGGAGCAACGCCGCGUGAGUGAAGAAGGUUUUCGGAUCGUAAAACUCUGUUGUUAGGGAAGAACAAGUGCCGUUCGAAUAGGGCGGCGCCUUGACGGUACCUAACCAGAAAGCCACGGCUAACUACGUGCCAGCAGCCGCGGUAAUACGUAGGUGGCAAGCGUUGUCCGGAAUUAUUGGGCGUAAAGCGCGCGCAGGUGGUUUCUUAAGUCUGAUGUGAAAGCCCACGGCUCAACCGUGGAGGGUCAUUGGAAACUGGGGAACUUGAGUGCAGAAGAGGAAAGUGGAAUUC